AAAUGCAUAUGUAAUUAGUUAAAUUUUAUGUAAUUAGUUAAAUUUAACUAAAUAAUUAAAUUAAACUA
rnacentral:tRNA from 2 species